rnacentral:rRNA from 2 species
GGGGAAUUUUCCGCAAUGGGCGAAAGCCUGACGGAGCAAUACCGCGUGAGGGAGGAAGGUCUGUGGAUUGUAAACCUCUUUUGAUAGGGAAGAAGUUCUGACGGUACCUAUCGAAUCAGCAUCGGCUAACUCCGUGCCAGCAGCCGCGGUAAUACGGAGGAUGCAAGCGUUAUCCGGAUUUAUUGGGCGUAAAGCGUCCGUAGGUGGUUAUUCAAGUCUAUUGUCAAAGCCUGGGGCUUAACCCUGGAGAGGCGGUGGAAACUGAAUAACUAGAGUGCGGUAGGGGCAGAGGGAAUUCCCAGUGUAGCGGUGAAAUGCGUAGAUAUUGGGAAGAACACCGGUGGCGAAAGCGCUCUGCUGGGCCUGCACUGACACUGAGGGACGAAAGCUAGGGGAGCGAAAGGGAUUAGAUACCCCUGU